rnacentral:rRNA from 1 species
CCUACGGGAGGCAGCAGUGAGGAAUAUUGGUCAAUGGGCGGAAGCCUGAACCAGCCAAGUCGCGUGAGGGAAUAAGGCCCUACGGGUCGUAAACCUCUUUUGCCGGGGAGCAAGGGCGGGGACGUGUCCCGGCCCGGAGAGUACCCGGAGAAAAAGCAUCGGCUAACUCCGUGCCAGCAGCCGCGGUAAUACGGAGGAUGCGAGCGUUAUCCGGAUUUAUUGGGUUUAAAGGGUGCGUAGGCGGAUCGUUAAGUCAGUGGUCAAAUUGAGGGGCUCAACCCCUUCCCGCCAUUGAAACUGGCGUUCUUGAGUGGAAGAGAAGUAUGCGGAAUGCGUGGUGUAGCGGUGAAAUGCAUAGAUAUCACGCAGAACCCCGAUUGCGAAGGCAGCAUGCCGGCUUCCGACUGACGCUGAAGCACGAAAGCGUGGGGAUCGAACAGGAUUAGAUACCCUUGUAGUC